AACACACUAGUCACAUAAAGGCAGAGAACUGUAAUCAUUAGCAGACCAUAAAGACGGAUGAAGUGCUUAGAAUAUAUGUAUAUUUCAAAAAGAAAAUGAUGCUUUCUUAUUCCUAAAAGUUUAUCAAUAGGAUGAAUGCCACAAAACUCACUUGUUAUGCCAGAAACUCUUCCUACAAAACUUCCAUACUAGAAUUUGUCCAGUACCUGUGAUCCUCUGAGUUGAAGGAGAAUGUGCUCCAUAAUACCUACUAGGAGCUUGCUGAUAGCUGGAAGUUCAUGAAUACUAUGUUGUCCUUGAUUUGAUGAUUCUGAAAACUACCAUUUCUGAAGACUUGAGCAAUAUUUCUAUAAUUUAAAAAAAUCUUUCAGGAAAUAUUGUGUUAAUAACAUUAAGAAAGUGAAGAUAAUAUUGUUCUUACUAAUAUUAUUGUUAUUAUUAUUAUUUAAAUAGAGAGCACAUCAUUACCAAUAUUCACUUGUCAAUAAAUGCUAGCAUUAUUCAAUUUUUAGUUACAUGUUCAAACUAUUAAAUUUUAUUAUUUAAAUUAUAGCAACUUUCUCUUUCAGUCAAACUUAAGAUAUAUUCCUGUAAAAAGUCUAUAAUAAUAAGUUAAUGUCGAUGUAGUAUUGUUCAGACACUUACAAGUUUAAUCAUCUAUACUUCACAAAAAAAAAAAAGUGUUUGAAUGGUUUUCAUUUGUUUGUACAUCAAAUAUGUAUUAAUAUAAUUAUCAUUUUUAGAUGAAACAUUAAAUACUGAAUAUGAACAUUUCAAUUUCUGAUGUAGGCCUAUUCUCAUUUCAUAAAACAAACAGAAUAUUAUCUGAAAUUUCAUCCCUUCAUGGUAACUGUAACUGGCUUCAUAAAAAAUGGAGUGAUGACUGGGUUGACUAUACAUUUUUGAAUAAAUAAUGCAUCAAUGAAUGUA